UCGGGUUGUAAAGCACUUUUGUCCGGAAAGAAAACUUCCGCCCUAAUACGGUGGGAGGCUGACGGUACCGGAAGAAUAAGCACCGGCUAACUACGUGCCAGCAGCGCGGUAAUCGUAGGGUGCGAGCGUUAAUCGGAAUUACUGGGCGUAAAGCGUGCGCAGGCGGUUUGUUAAGACAGAUGUGAAAUCCCCGGGCUUAACCUGGGAACUGCAUUUGUGACUGGCAAGCUAGAGUAUGGCAGAGGGGGGUAGAAUUCCACGUGUAGCAGUGAAAUGCGUAGAGAUGUGGAGGAAUACCGAUGGCGAAGGCAGCCCCCUGGGCCAAUACUGACGCUCAUGCACGAAAGCGUGGGGAGCAAACAGGAUUAGAUACCCUGGUAGUCCACGCCCUAAACGAUGUCAACUAGUUGUUGGGGAUUCAUUUCCUUAGUAACGUAGCUAACGCGUGAAGUUGACCGCCUAGGGAGUACGGUCGCAAGAUUAAAACUCAAAGGAAUUGACGGGGACCCGCACAAGCGGUGGAUGAAUGUGGAUUAAUUCGAUGCAACGCGAAAAACCUUACCUACCCUUGACAUGGACGGAACCCUGCUG
rnacentral:rRNA from 1 species